UGACCUCCAGGGCCUUGCUGUGAUCCUGUUACUGGAAGGAGACACCAUAAAAGAGCAACGGUCAGUCUUUUUCGCCCAGUAUGCGUCAACACGUCCGAGGCGUCGGAAGAGAGUGCGUGUGCUUUCUCUCAGCAUGAAAAGCAAGCCCUCGAGAAGAACAUGGAAAAAACAAAGGAAGGUCGCCAUCGAGUACCUUCGCUCCUGCAGGACGGAUAGGAGGGCUUUCCUCCGAUUUUACCUUCACUUGGAGCAUUAGGACAGCGAGCAAAAUCAAUCUUCGGAAUGGCCCUCACACCGCUUCUUCCAAAUCCCAGUGGAAAAGUCAAAAACGUCUGACGAUGGAGAAGGUGGACUAUUGUAAAUCUUUCUGGUUAGUCCAGUACAGGAAAAUUCCACCCAAACCCGAUCAGAUUUGGCCCAGCCCACAAAAUGGUGAAGAGAUGUUCUUCAUCUUUACGUAAGGAAUAUACUUAUUGGUAGUGAAGCCAGUUUGAAGUUAUUUGCGAACUUGGGUAACGUUCUUUAUAAGACCUACAAAUGCUCAAUCCGUGGGAUUGUUUGUUAAUAGUUAAAACAGAUAUCUUUUAUAGGUAAGUAUUUCUUAGCCUUAUCUUGGAGCUAUAGGUUUAAAUCCUCCUUAUCAUUGUAUUAGUAUAUAUCAGAAUCAUCUGCUUUACCAAAGGAAAAUGAAGUUUUGGUAAGAAUGGGCGAUAAGCUAGACUGGUUUUGAUUUAGUUUGUACCAUAAACUCACCUGCAGCCGUAGGAAGGCAAGAAGAAGAUAAUUAUCACAAACUUGGACACCAAGACCCAACGACGAAUUUCAGCUGAAGGGAAUGAAAUAGUAAGAGAAGUUGAAAUAUUUCGAGGAGUCAAAGAGGCAGAAAGGCAAACGAAAUAUCUUCAAUAACGACUUUCACUGCAGCUGCUGGACACUGCACAAGAUUAGCCAUUUGUGACUCUUGUGCGUGUGACAGCGGCUAUUGUGGAAAAUCAAAUACUUCAGAGCUGUUUUCGCCCUCUUCCGUUUCGUAUCUCUACAAGGAAGGGAAAAUGAUGAUAUUAAUGAUGAUGAUGAUGAUGAUGAUGAAGAUAGAAGCUGUAUGAGAGGUGUUUGUUAUAGUCUAUGGAAACUACUUCAGAUCAACUGUAAUGCGUAUUGUAACAAAUCAUGGUAAUAGAAGAAGACCAGUUACUCUGUUGCUGAUUUCGUUUUGUAUAUCCUACUUUCCUCGUUGGAAUUCAAGAAGAGGACGAACGCCAUGAUGAAGAAACAGGAGGAUGCUCGUGCUAUGGUACAUGUAAAUUAUUUUUUGGUUAAAAGUUUGGAACCUCAAUAGUAGAUUGUAAAACAGGAUCCUGGACCAUUUUUCUCUUACUAAAUGUGUUCUGCACCUCUCUUUUUCAGAGAAUAUGUUGCGGAAACUAAUAAAUAUAAGUUAAUUGUUAAUUGGC